AUGCAAAAAGAUGAUCUUUGGACUGAGCUGAAGGCAAAUUUCACCCUACCGCCAGAGGAGUAUCCGGAGAAGCCAGUUAAAGAGCAAUUAAUCAAGUCUCAUGCUCUUAAGAAGAUGGCAGACCUAUUCAGGAGGUGGAAGAAUGAGCUGAAAACGUUUGUCGACAAAGAAGAGAUACCAGAAUUCAUCGGCCGGUAUGAGAAGAUCAGAGAUCACUGGCCCGCAUUUGUGGCCCACAAGACAUCGGAAAAGAGUAAGAAGAUGUCAGCGACAAACAAGAAGAAUGCUGCGAAGAAGAAGCUUCACCAUCGCACGGGGUCAGGUGGCUACCUCAAAGCCCGACCUAAGUGGGCCAAGGCUGAGAAUGAUCUGCUUGAAAAAGGGAUUGAACCACAGACAAUGAACUGGACAGACCGUUGCCGGACUUGGUUCUUCGGGGCUGGCGGAACCUUGGACCCUGUAUCAGGGAGGUGCGUUUGGAUGAACGAGCUUUUGAGAAUACCAGUCAAGAAGAUUCAGCAAUAUAUCGAUGCAGCGCAGGAAGGGACGUUCGUUCCAAACAGAGAGAACGACGAGCUCACAAUGGCCCUCGGGAAUCCUGAGCACCCUGGACGGACACGAGGCACACCAGGCUCCGUUCCGUGGAAGGCUGGUUUUCCGGACGCGGGCGGUUACAAAAGCCAGGAGAGGAGGAAAAAAGUGGAGCAGAUCCAAAUUCAGAAGCUGCACGAAAGGGUUCAAGCGUUAGAGGAACGAGACGGCAAUCGACAUGCCGAAACUGCCCCCGAAGCUACACCGCCAUCUCAGCGGAGAAGCAGCGUGGCUUCCACCGAGCUGCUUCAGCUGGAGCAUGCGGCUCCUGCUAGCUACCCCGUGGAUGCUAUCACGGAGUCUCAACACUGCCACCUUAUGGCGGAAUGGCAGAACUUCAAAGUCAAGGCGGCUGUUGGCUCUGUUUUACCUCCUGAACCCGGCGCAACCUACCACUGCCGGCCGAUUACAGAAGGAUAUGCUAGGGUGAUGGUGGAUGAAAUAACGGAGGGAUUUGAGGAGCUCCAGCUUGACCACCCUACCGGUGAAGGGGAGACUCGGCUGGGUUCUGCUCUGAAGACUCCAUGCCUAUGGCGGAAGGAGCUCAUCAAGCUUCCGAACUGGACGGCUCCGGCGAGUAAGGGCACUCCGCCUCCUCCUCCGGCGAGUGAUCAGGGCACUCAGCCUCCGUCUCCGGCGCGUGGCGGCACUCCGCCUCCUUCGCCGCCUACGCCGGCGCGCCAGAGCAGCCAGCCUCCUCCUUCUCCGCCUCGUCAGCAAGGGCGGAAGAGACCCGCCGCCGCUGCGGCUGCUCCGGCGCGUCGUAGUCCUUCUCCUCCGCCUCGUAAGCAAGGAAAGAAGACAGCCGCAGCCGCUCCGUCUGCUCUGCCGGUGUCUAGCAGUACAGCUGCCAGAGGCGGGACGCAAUACAGAUUCGGUCCUUCUCUGAAGACUCCAGAGAAGUUACCAUACGAGAGGACCGAGGAGGAAACCAGGAAGAUCGUGCGAGCCGAAGUGACAAACUUCUUUGAAGGGGUGAAAGCAAAGAAACAUCCACCUCCGGAGGAGAAGGUAGAUCCGGUGAAAGCAAAGCGCACUCUGGCUGCCCUGACAAAACCACCAAAGUCUCCGCCGAGAGGCAACUAUGAGCGCAUUCUUGCAAAGACAUAUGCCGAAGCGGAGCGGUCGGGAAGUACUGUCAGUGAUCAAAGGUUAAAAGAACGACGAGCUGGGAAAAAAAUUGCCCAGCUCGGCGAACAAGUGAACCAAUCGUGCCCCCCGCUCAAGGUGUCAAAAGACAUCGUCGCUAAUGAUCUGAGGAUGGUGGCCGGUUAUAGCAAUCUUGGAGAUUACCUGCCCGACGAUGUACAUUAUGAAAUCAUGGAGGUCGACGAACACAAAUACCAUUACGGGAAGCCUCUCGUCAAAGAUGAAAGAUCUCUAACAACGAUGAUGCGAAGACUACAUGAUUGGUACAUGAAAACCUGCAGAGAGUCUGAUGGGAUGAAUACUUUGACGCUGAGAGUUAAACCGGAGCAUGACCUCGUUGGAAUUGAUCUGCUGAAUGUUCCAUUUGAGGAUUUCUUCCAGUUUUACAAUCAAAAGGCCCUCGAUAAAACAACGAUCACUUGCUACUGUCUGUAA
rnacentral:rRNA from 1 species